rnacentral:tRNA from 1 species
GCCCUGUUAGCUCAGUUGGUAGAGCAACUCCCUCUUAAGGAGAUGGUCGGGGGUUCGAAUCCCUCACAGGGCA